rnacentral:rRNA from 1 species
GAUGAACGCUGGCGGCGUGCCUAAUACAUGCAAGUCGAGCGAACGGACGAGAAGCUUGCUUCUCUGAUGUUAGCGGCGGACGGGUGAGUAACACGUGGAUAACCUACCUAUAAGACUGGGAUAACUUCGGGAAACCGGAGCUAAUACCGGAUGAUAUUUUGAACCGCAUGGUUCAAAAGUGAAAGACGGUCUUGCUGUCACUUAUAGAUGGAUCAGCGCUGCAUUAGCUAGUUGGUAAGGUAACGGCUUACCAAGGCAACGAUGCAUAGCCGACCUGAGAGGGUGAGCGCCGACACGGGCGCUGAGACGCGGUCCAGACUCCUACGGGAGGCAACGGUAGGGAAUCUUACGCAAUGGGCGGAAGCCUGACGGAACAACGCCGCGUGAGUGAUGAAGGUCCUCGGAUCGUAAAACUCUGUUAUUAGGGAAGAACAUAUGUGUAAGUAACUGUGCACAUCUUGACGGUACCUAAUCAGAAAGCCACGGCUAACGACGUG